UACGUAGGGUGCAAGCGUUGUCCGGAAUUAUUGGGCGUAAAGAGCUCGUAGGCGGUCUGUCACGUCGGACGUGAAAAUCCAGGGCUCAACCCUGGACCUGCGUUCGAUACGGGCAGACUAGAGUUCGGUAGGGGAGACUGGAAUUCCUGGUGUAGCGGUGAAAUGCGUAGAUAUCGGGAGGAACACCAGUGGCGAAGGCGACUACCUGGCCUGUUCUUGACGCUGAGGCGCGAAAGCUAGGGGAGCAAACGGG
rnacentral:rRNA from 1 species